rnacentral:rRNA from 1 species
ACGUAGGGGGCGAGCGUUGUCCGGAAUUACUGGGCGUAAAGCGCACGUAGGCGGGUCGUUAAGUCGGCUGUGAAAGGCACUGGCUCAACCGGUGUUUGUCGGUCGAUACUGGCGGUCUGGAGUAUGGGAGAGGGAGCUGGAAUUCCUGGUGUAGCGGUGAAAUGCGCAGAUAUCGGGAGGAACACCAAUGGCGAAGGCGGGUUCCUGGCCCAUUACUGACGCUAAGAUGCGAAGGCCUGGGGAGCAAACGG